CUACGGGAUGCAGCAGUGGGGAAUAUUGCACAAUGGGCGCAAGCCUGAUGCAGCCAUGCCGCGUGUAUGAAGAAGGCCUUCGGGUUGUAAAGUACUUUCAGCGGGGAGGAAGGGAGUAAAGUUAAUACCUUUGCUCAUUGACGUUACCCGCAGAAGAAGCACCGGCUAACUCCGUGCCAGCAGCCGCGGUAAUACGGAGGGUGGCAAGCGUUAAUCGGAAUUACUGGGCGUAAAGCGCACGCAGGCGGUUUGUUAAGUCAGAUGUGAAAUCCCCGGGCUCAACCUGGGAACUGCAUCUGAUACUGGCAAGCUUGAGUCUCGUAGAGGGGGGUAGAAGUCCAGGUGUAGCGGUGAAAUGCGUAGAGAUCUGGAGGAAUACCGGUGGCGAAGGCGGCCCCCUGGACGAAGACUGACGCUCAGGUGCGAAAGCGUGGGGAGCAAACAGGAUUAGAUACCCUCGUAGUC
rnacentral:rRNA from 1 species